rnacentral:rRNA from 1 species
GACGAACGCUGGCGGCGUGCUUAACACAUGCAAGUCGAACGGAAAGGCCCUGCUUUUGUGGGGUGCUCGAGUGGCGAACGGGUGAGUAACACGUGAGUAACCUGCCCUUGACUUUGGGAUAACUUCAGGAAACUGGGGCUAAUACCGGAUAGGAGCUCCUGCUGCAUGGUGGGGGUUGGAAAGUUUCGGCGGUUGGGGAUGGACUCGCGGCUUAUCGGCUUGUUGGUGGGGUAGUGGCUUACCAAGGCUUUGACGGGUAGCCGGCCUGAGAGGGUGACCGGCCACAUUGGGACUGAGAUACGGCCCGGACUCCUACGGGAGGCAGCAGUGGGGAAUAUUGCACAAUGGGCGGAAGCCUGAUGCAGCAACGCCGCGUGCGGGAUGACGGCCUUCGGGUUGUAAACCGCUUUCGCCUGUGACGAAGCGUGAGUGACGGUAAUGGGUAAAGAAGCACCGGCUAACUACGUG